AAAGACUUUUGGCCUGCCUAGUUGUACGCCAAACCAAAGAGACAGGAAACUGUUUUCAAACUGCAUUUACGCGUCACUCAAAGCAGAAUUUUGCAGAUAUGCUGAC